GGGCAGGGCGCUGGUCACAAGGGAACUUGGGAGCAGGAACCGGAUGGAAUGGCCUGGGGACAGACCGUGGGCAGAGAAGAGGACUGAGACCUGGGCCUGGAGCUCUGACAUCUAGGAGAGAAAGGGAUAAGGAAUAUUCAGCUAAAAAGCCUGAGAAGGUGAAGCCUAGGAGGCUGCAUUAUUCCCAGUUGAUAC